GGUGCGGGUGUUCGGCGGUGCUCGGUUGGGUGGUCAGGGUCCUCCGACACCUGGAGGCGUCCUCCCGCUCCGGACCACCCUGGAGUCGCCGUGCCCAAGGCAGGGGUGAGGCGCGUCCCGGGCUUUGGGUUCUCGGGCUGGACCUCGCCUGCACCCGCCUUCUCCUCCGCUGGAGCGGAGCCUGGCCGUCUGAGCGGCUCUGCUGUCAUUUGGCCCAAGGACCCGGGGGUAGGAAAGCGCGACCUGAUUAGAUCCUGCCAGAUUUGGUGGCAGUGGUGAAUUGAAGAGAACUUCUGACAGCUUUGGGAACGAGAAACACAUGAGGCGUGGCACACAUGAACCCUUGGGUUCUCAUCCUGUUCCCAAGGGCUCUUGGGCGGGGACAAUCAAGCCCUGGGAAUGCUCACGCACGAACAUGGUAGUAGACGCGCUGAUGAGAGCAUGCAGUGUGACUCAGUGGCUCGUGCCUAGCCCAGCUGUCUUCAUGCUAGGGCCGCAGCUGUGGAGUGAGCCCAAGCAUCCGCAGAUCUGACCCUAGGAAAUGGCAUUCAUUUGGAAACUUCACACUUUGUCCCAAGUCAUCUUCACUCCGAACUGACUCCACAUUUCUCUGCAAAUAGACUAACUUCCUGAGAUCCCUCUGCUUUUACCAUCUAAUCUACAUCUUCAAUGUUGCAACACCCUUGAUCUGGCUCUCUCACUACCUCUACAUGAUGAAGGUGAGCCUCCUAGCUGAGGUAGGGAGUUCCGUUUCGUGACAACUCAUCCUGACUUAGGAGAUAUCCCUUUAACGAAUCAUUAUCUACUCUGGUUUGUUGACAUGUCAUACCGUAGAGGUGAAAAAGGAAAUUUUCAGGCUGGUUGUUGUUAUUACUCAGUAUGACCUGCUGG